rnacentral:rRNA from 1 species
GACGAACGUUGGCGGCGUGCUUAAUACAUGCAAGUCAACUGAAGCAGUGGUAGCAAUAUCGCUGUGGAGGUGGCGUACGGGUGAGUAACACGUAGGUAAUCUGCCUUCAGGUCUGGCAUAACUCCGGGAAACCGGGGCUAAUAGCAGAUGAUGCAGCGGCUCGACAUCGAGACAGUUGUUAAAGCUAUGGCGCCUGAAGAUGAGCCUGCGUCUGAUUAGCUAGUUGGCGGGGUAACGGCCCACCAAGGCAACGAUCAGUAGCUGGUCUGAGAGGAUGAUCAGCCACACUGGAACUGAGACACGGUCCAGACUCCUACGGGAGGCAGCAGUAAGGAAUAUUGCUCAAUGGGAGAAAUCCUGAAGCAGCAACGCCGCGUGAGGGACGAAGGGCUUUUGCUUGUAAACCUCUGUAGUGAGAGAAAAAAGUCCCAAUCUUUGGGACAUGAUGGUAUCUCAAAAGUAAGCCCCGGCUAACUACGUG